GCGGGUCGGGGGUGUCUGGUGCCAGGUGCCCAGGGUGGACCCUGUCUGGGGGUGCAGAGCUGAGGCCGGAGCCCUUUUCUUCCCUCUCGUGGGCAGGAGAUGUCUCGGAGGUAGCCUGAAGUUGGCGGCGUCUCAGCGGAGGUAGGAAGGAAGGGGAAAUGCGAGGGGCUUUGUCGCAUGGAGCAGAACGGGCUCAGCGCAGCGUCGGAGAGUCGCUGGGAAGCAGCGUCCCACGGUUGCUGUCCUCAACUUUUGUGAACCUCUUGCACCGGCCAGUACCCCUCGUUGUCUGCUCGAAAACCGCACUGCUUCUUUCCAACGCCGUACAGUCGCCCAGCGGAGUCCACCCUGCUCCUGCAAGGCACGUCCACCUCCACUGCGCUACGCGCUGGCUGCAGGUCGGAGUAGCAGGAUGAGUGCCGUGUGAGCCUGCAGCUCUCUUUUCUUUCAUAGCAGCAACACGAGGCCAGGCAUGCUGUCCCCCACAGUUAUAAGCAGUGUGCCUAUAUAUAUCUCUGUCUCUGUCUCUGUAUACAUAUAAAGCUCUGUAUAUCUCUAUGUAGGCAUAUGCAUAGAGCUCUCUCUGUCUAUCACUAUAUAUCUCUAUCUCCAUUUCUA